GCCCUUCAUGCAAUCAGGAGCUUGUUAGAUCAAAAUCAUGGUCAGCCUGGAGCAACGCGUAUUAAACAAUGAAUCAAACAGAUCGAGCAUGUUAAUCAUAUACCUACCAGCAACGCAACCUCAGAACAUGCAGAACCUGAUUGCACUUCCACACUAAGGCCCCGUUCGUUUUGCAGGGAACAGCUCCCUGAAAAACUUCCGGUCGGAAUUGCAAGACAAAUUUGUACUACCUUUUAUUAGCUGGAAUGAUUCCCAGUCUGAUUCACCUCUAACCGAACGUGCCCUAAGGUAGUACGUAACAGUCAUCAAGAUCAAUAAUAAGCCACAGGCAAGAACAUGUCUGAGAUUUGUUACACAACCUUGCAGACGCACAAUGCCACAUGGUCAACGUUAUUGAACUUUUAUGUUAUAUGUACCAAUGGGUGUUCUCGUUUGAAG
rnacentral:lncRNA from 1 species